rnacentral:lncRNA from 1 species
GGACAGCCAGUGUGGUCCCGGGAAGGGGCUUGUCGGGGUGCCGGGAGGGCCUGCGUCUGGGCUCCAGGGCACGGUGGCCUUCCUGCCCUCUUCCGGUCGCAGAGGCCACAGGGCAGCGCGUCACAUCCAGCCUUGACUCUUGCCUCCCUCUUGAGCCCAGCUGGAGGAUCCAGGGCCAUCUCCCUACGUGAGGCCAGCUGAGGAGGACAGGGGUCCCGUCUGUACCCUUGGUGCCCCUGACCACGUCACGUGACACGUGCAGGUCACAGGGCUUAGGAUGUGGUCGGUGCUGGUGGAGGGGACAGUACCUGCCUGUCACAGGACAGCAGCACUUUACCCUGUGGCAGGAGGAGGGGCAGAUGGGACCCACUGUGCCUGAGCCCGUCCCGGUGGCUGCUGCUGUCCGGCUGCUGGCACGGACUUGGUUAUGGACAGGGCAGCGGAGCCGCGGCCCUGGGACCCCGCGUGCUUCUAGGUUCCCCACCAGCUCCUCAGAACCUUGCUCAGCUGAGCCCUGUCCUCUCCUCCGUGCCUCCUCCUGGUGCCGGUGUCACCAUGGCCCCGCACAGAGCCUGCGCCCUGUGACCUGGACAUUCUUGCCUGGACUCAAACCAGCCUCGGCCCCCGACCCCCACCCCCACCCGCAGGGAGAAACUGAGGCCAGACUGCAGCUGGGCUCCUCCCGGCUUCCACGGGUGCCCCAGGGCUCAGGCGCUGUCCCCUG